ACUCAAAUGAAUUGACGGGGGCCCGCACAAGCGGUGGAGCAUGUGGUUUAAUUCGAUGCAACGCGAAGAACCUUACCUACUCUUGACAUCCUAAGAAUCCUGUAGAGAUACGGGAGUGCCGAAAGGAACUUAGAGACAGGUGCUGCAUGGCUGUCGUCAGCUCGUGUCGUGAGAUGUUGGGUUAAGUCCCGUAACGAGCGCAACCCUUAUACUUAAUUGCCAUUGGGUAAAGCCAGGCACUUUAAGUAGACUGCCGGUGAUAAACCGGAGGAAGGCGGGGACGAGGUCAAGUCAUCAUGGCCCUUACGAGUAGGGCUACACACGUGCUACAAUGGCCGGUACAGAGGGCAGCGAAACUGUGAAGUGGAGCGAAUCCUAUAAAGCCGGUCUCAGUCCGGAUUGCAGUCUGCAACUCGACUGCAUGAAGCUGGAAUCGCUAGUAAUCGCGAAUCAGAAUGUCGCGGUGAAUACGUUCCCGGGCCUUGUACACACCGCCCGU
rnacentral:rRNA from 1 species